CACACACUUCCUUAGAUCCGCUCCUGGGAUGGUAUUAAUACAGUUUAGUUACCCUGUAAUGGGUGACUUUCUGUAGAGCCAUUCAGCAACACUGUUAAUGUUGUGUUCCAUGGGGAGUGCUUGAGUCAUUGGUGUGUAAGAGAAGAAUACCUCCGCUAUGAGCAAAAUAGUACAUCUUGUGAUGACCUC